rnacentral:rRNA from 1 species
CCUACGGGUGGCAGCAGUGAGGAAUAUUGGUCAAUGGGCGUACGCCUGAACCAGCCAAGUCGCGUGAGGGAAGACUGCCCUAUGGGUUGUAAACCUCUUUUGUCAGGGAGCAACGCCGGCUACGUGUAGCCUGACUGAUAGUACCUGAAGAAAAAGCAUGGGCUAACUCCGUGCCAGCAGCCGCGGUAAUACGGAGGAUGCGAGCGUUAUCGGGAUUUCUUGGGUUAAAGGGGUGCGUAGGCGGAAUGCCAAGUCAGCGGUAAAAUCGCGGGGCUCAACCUCGCUCCGCCGUUGAAACUGGCGGUCUUGAGUGGGCGAGAGGUAGGCGGAAUUCGUGGUGUAGCGGUGAAAUGCAUAGAUAUCACGCAGAACUCCGAUUGCGAAGGCAGCAUACCG